rnacentral:rRNA from 1 species
AUUGAACGCUGGCGGAGUGCUUUACACAUGCAAGUCGAACGGUAGAGGGGGCAACCCCUCGAGAGUGGCGAACGGGUGAGUAAUAUAUCGGAACGUGCCCAGUCGUGGGGGAUAACGUAGCGAAAGUUACGCUAAUACCGCAUACGAUCUAAGGAUGAAAGCGGGGGAUCGCAAGACCUCGCGCGAUUGGAGCGGCCGAUAUCGGAUUAGGUAGUUGGUGGGGUAAAGGCUCACCAAGCCAACGAUCUGUAGCUGGUCUGAGAGGACGACCAGCCACACUGGAACUGAGACACGGUCCAGACUCCUACGGGAGGCAGCAGUGGGGAAUUUUGGACAAUGGACGCAAGUCUGAUCCAGCCAUUCCGCGUGCAGGAUGAAGGCCCUCGGGUUGUAAACUGCUUUUGUACGGAACGAAGAGGUCUCUCUUAAUACGGGGGGCUCAUGACGGUACCGUAAGAAUAAGCACCGGCUAACUACGUGCCAGCAGCCGCCGCCG